UUCUGCUUUCACCAGUCUGUCCAUCUUCAAUCUGGUUGAUUGAUGGAUUGAUUCUGACUUUGAACUUUAAAGGGUGCUUGCUUGAAAGAAGGUGAUUGAUUCUGACUUUGAACUUUAAAGGGUGCUUGCUUGAAAGAAGCAUGCUUGUUGGUUGGGGUGUGACCGUGACAGGGAAGGUGGAAGACGUUGACCAUGACUGCUUGAGACAAUGGAGAAGGGUGGAAUAGUACAGCGCCGCUUUUGAAUGUGUUGAAGCAUUUUUAGCCACGACCCGAGACUCAAUAAUGUUAUCCUUAUUCAAUUGCAUAAGACGCGGACAAGAGUUGCCUGAUUUGAAGAAUUUGCCAGUUUUAGGUUAGUGUCCUUGUGAGAGUUUUGUACAAGAAAAAGAAGCAUCUUUGAUUUUGAGAGUUGCUGCCAGGAUUUUCUCACACACACACAACAGGUUCGCUCAACCAAGAAUACAAAUAUUCUCUCGGUGAAUGGAUAUCUUGCUCAGCGAGCAUGUGCAGUUAAUAGGGAGAUUGUUGACUUUUCACCCAAUGAAUACAUGUAUGCUUACCUAAUGAAAAGUCAAGUUGUAUAAGUGGUUUAUUAGUCGAGAAAGAGAAAAAUAGAGGCAAGUCUGGUUGCGGGAACACGAAGAAACUCAAGAAACCUGUUAGGGAUUACUCCAAGUUCAUCAAGACGUUGUGCUUUUGUCAAAUUUGUAUGUUCUAAAUGGUUAGGAGUAGUUAAAAUCCAUUUUCAUUAGGAUUGGAUAUCAUGUACUCAACUAGAUGUAAUUCUCUUGUACAAUAAAGUCUUUGUUCAUUCAUAUACUUUAUCUAAAUUUUAUGUGUAUGAUGGAAUGUCUUAAUCGAGUGUGUCUAGUCAUUGGAAGGUGAAUUUUAGAACAUAGACAUAGAUAGAGCGACCAAGAGAAUUGGAUCUAGGAAUGGUUUCAAUCUCUUGGUCAUUCUAAACAACAAAAUUUAAUGCAAAUUGUACGUUAAAAGAACUGAGGAAUUAGUAAUUUAAUGUAUGGAUUUAGAACUUAUUCGUAAGGAAUUAGGACUAGUAAACCUUUGUUGUGAAUGUUUGAAUGAGUAGGAGAUAAAUUGUAUAAGGUUGUUUGCAUCAAUUGAUAUAUGAAUUCCAAUUCCAAUGAAGCUUUACCUUUAUCUUAAUCAAAUUUUCUAAGUUCCUGUUGUUACAAUCUAUUUCAUGAUUAUGAACUCAAUCAUUUUCUAUAUGAAAGUUAAAAUGGUUGAAAAUAGUUAAAAUUGUAAGUCUCUUUCUCUGUUCAUUCAUAUAUGUGUGUGUGUGCGCGUGCGCGUGUGCGUGUAGAAAAUAAAAGCAAAAUAAUAAAAAGGGUGCAUGAAUUGAAAAAGAAGGUUGAGCAGUGAAAGAAAUAUGGUGAGGGGUUUACUUUUGUAUAUGGGGAUUUGAGGAUUUACUUGAUUGAUUGAGUCAUUUACUUGUUUUUCUCUUCUCAAGUAAUGAAUUUGAAUCCAUGAAAAAACAUUAUUCUUCUAGCCAAGCCAAGUUUCAACCUUAGAAAGACCUUUUGACCUAAUAAAUUGUGUAUGAAAUGUGAGUUAGAUGAUGUGCAAAAGUUGAUGAAGUUCUAAGAUAUGCUUGUUGUUGAACACAUGUGAGAACAAACACUUAUUUGAUGAGCUUUGAUAAAUCUUUGAUUUGGUUGUUAGUAAUAGAAGACACUGAGGAUAGAAAAGAACAAUAGCGUGGCGACAAUCGGUGAUAACUUAGAAAAUUAUAACAAAUGAUUUGUUAUCAAAGGUUAUGGAGUAAUUUAAUGUUUUGGUUAAUUGGCUUAAUGAAGUCAUAUUGAAAAGGCAAUUAGGAACAGAGAGAACAAAAUUGAGAUUUAGGAAAGGGGAAAGUGAAACUUGAUUGACUCCCUUUGAGGAAGUUUUAGAGCCAUUUGUCAAGGUUAUGAAAUCAUGGUCUCUCUGUAAGGAAAGGGAUGAGAACAAAGAAGCAUCACCAGAGAUGUGAUCAAAAGCACAUGAGUCAAUUACCCAAGAAUUUUGACCUUUCAUGGAUUGCAAGUUAGUUGUUGAUGUACUUGGUGUUUCAAAUGUUUGUGUCAAGCUAUAAAACUUUAACCUUAGAUACUCUUGAUAUUCAUUCUCAAUGAAUUUGGAGUUGGAUGUUUCAACCUUAGAG